UCCUAACCCCCAACAACCAAGAUGCAGCCUACUGUCAUUGCCUGCAUGAAUCUGCAACUUACCACUGCUGCUGCCAGCGGGAUUCCGUCAUCACGCAUGCUGUUGUGACAGGAGCCUCCCUGGGCAGCUCGCCUUCGGCACGCUUCACGGUGGAUGCUGUCUCAUUCAAACCACCAAGUAUUUUAGCAUCUUCCAGACAUGCCCACCGGCCGAUCUGAUGGAGGCAAUUCUUCAUAGGAGUUCCCUCAUCGCAGGUCCUGGAAGAGUGCUGCAAGGACAAGAUGAGGCUGCCUCCACCUUUGCUCCUUUCUGUGAACUGGUUCCUGUCCUGGAAACACACGUUCUUCUUAUUUCCUUUAACGUAGCCUCUGAGGUCAUCACGCUGACAUCGCGUCUUCUGCACCCUCUUCGCUCACACUGUCCCCUUGACUCCUUCCU